AUUGAACGCUGGCGGCAGGCCUAACACAUGCAAGUCGAGCGGAGCGGCGGACGGGUGAGUAAUGUAUGGGGAUCUGCCCGAUAGAGGGGGAUAACUACUGGAAACGGUAGCUAAUACCGCAUACGAUCGGAUGAACCCAUAUGGGAUUAGAUAGUGGGUGAGGUAAUGGCUCACCAAGGCGACGAUCCCUAGCUGGUCUGAGAGGAUGAUCAGUAACACUGGAACUGAGAGACGGUCCAGACUCCUACGGGAGGCAGCAGUGGGGAAUAUUGGACAAUGGGCGAAAGCCUGAUCCAGCCAUGCCGCGUGUGUGAAGAAGGUCUUCGGAUUGUAAAGCACUUUAAGUUGGGAGGCGUUACCAACAGAAUAAGCACCGGCUAACUUCGUGCCAGCAGCCGCGGUAAUUC
rnacentral:rRNA from 1 species